CGGAAGGAUCAUUGCACACAC
rnacentral:rRNA from 10 species